rnacentral:lncRNA from 1 species
GAGCGUCGAGGAUGUUCUAGAUGGUGAUGACACAACAAUACAGAGUUCCAGAUUAGAAUCACUGAGCGUCGAGGAUGUUCUAGAUGGUGAUGACACAACAAUACAGAGUUAGAUCAUUUUGACGUGCGGAGCAACUUCAACAUUUUGUUUGUUUGUUGGAGAAGGUGGUUUGAGCUUUCUAAUUGGGCAGUUAAAGCUUGUCUGUUAAAACACGUUAUGUUAGUGAUUCCUUUACGUUGGCAGUUACCUGUAUGUAGGCCAGUACAACAACAACAAAAAUGUAUGAGAUGUAUGCAUUCACUACUGUAAGUCGCUCUGGAUAAGAGCGUCUGCUAAAAUGACUCAAAUGUAAAAUGUAGGUCUAUUGUAGCUCGGGGUUUUCUGUCUCUCCAACCCCUCUUCAUGGCGCCGACCCUCCGGGUUUGGAGAGGGUCCAUUUCGUCUCCCCAAAGGUCAAAGUUCAGACCCUUGUUUAGCCUAGGUUCUGUCAAAAUCAAAUCAAAAUACAAUAAAAUAAAAAUGUUAUUGGUCGUGUACACGUGUUUAGCAGAUGUUAUUGCCGGUGUAAUAUCUAACAAUUACACAACAAUACACGAGUAGCCUGGUGGUUAGAGUAGGCAGGUAGCCUAGUUGUUAGAGGAAACAAGUAGUCUAGUGGUUAGAGGAGGCGGGUAGCCUAGUGGAUAGAGGAGGCGGGUAGCCUAGUGGUUAGAGGAGGAGGCGGGUAGCCUGGUGGUUAGAGGAGGCGGGUGGCCCGGUGGUUAGAGGAGGCGGGUAGCCUGGUGGUUAGAGGAGGCGGGUAGCCCGGUGGUUAGAGGAGGCGGGUAGCCCGGUGGUUAGGAGGAGGCGGGUAGCCCGGUGGUUAGAGGAGGCGGGUAGCCCGGUGGUUAGAGGAGGCGGGUAGCCCGGUGGUUAGAGGAGGCAGGUAGCCCAGUGGUUAGAGGAGGAGGCAGGUAGCCUAGUGGUUAGAGGAGGAGGCAGGUAGCCUAGUGGUUAGAGGAGGCAGGUAGCCUAGUGGUUAGAGGAGGCGGGUAGCCUAGUGGUUAGAGGAGGAGGCAGGUAGCCUAGUGGUUAGAGGAGGCAGGUAGCCUAGUGGUUAGAGGAGGCGGGUAGCCUGGUGGUUAGAGGAGGCAGGUAGCCUAGUGGUUAGAGGAGGCAGGCAGCCUGGUGGUUAGAGGAGGCAGGUAGCCUAGUGGUUAGAGGAGGCAGGUAGCCUAGUGGUUAGAGGAGGCAGGUAGCCUAGUGGGUAGAGCAGGUAGCCUGGUGGUUAGAGGAGGCAGGUAGCCUGGUGGUUAGAGGAGGCAGGUAGCCUAGUGGUUAGAGGAGGCAGGUAGCCUAGUGGUUAGAGGAGGCAGGUAGCCUAGUGGUUAGAGUGUUGGCCUAGUAACUGAAAGGUUGCUAGAUUGAAUCCCCGAGCUGACAAGGUAAAAAUCUGUCGUUCUGCCCCUGAACAAGGUAGGCUGUCAUUAUAAAUAAUAAUUAGUUCUUAACUGACUUGCCUGGUUAACUAAAAAAAAAUAGCUCUGGUUAAAAUGGGAUGCCUGCUAUUUGCACUGCAUUUCUCUGGUCAAAAGAAGGGCACUAUGGGGUGCCUGGCAAAUUCAUCAACACAACAACAACGGAU